AUUGAACGCUGGCGGCAGGCCUAACACAUGCAAGUCGAGCGGAUGAAGGGAGCUUGCUCCUGGAUUCAGCGUCGGACGGGUGAGUAAUGCCUAGGAAUCUGCCUGGUAGUGGGGUAUAACGUCCUGAAACGGGCGCUAAUACCGCAUACGUCCUGAUGGAGAAAGUGGGUGAUCUUCGGACCUCACGCUAUCAGAUGAGCCUAGGUCGGAUUAGCUAGUUGGUGGGGUAAAGGCCUACCAAGGCGACGAUCCGUAACUGGUCUGAGAGGAUGAUCAGUCACACUGGAACUGGGACACGGUCCAGACUACUACGGGAGGCAGCAGUGGGGAAUAUUGGACAGUGGGCGAAAGCCUGAUCCAGCCAUGCCGCGUGUGUGAAGAAGGUCUUCGGAUUGUAAAGCACUUUAAGUUGGGAGGAAGGGCAGUAAGUUAAUACCUUGCUGUUUUGACGUUACCAACAGAAUAAGCACCGGCUAACUUCGUG
rnacentral:rRNA from 1 species